rnacentral:rRNA from 1 species
GACGUAGGAUGCAAGCGUUGUCCGGAAUUAUUGGGCGUAAAGAGUUCGUAGGUGGUUACUUAAGUCUGGUGUUAAAGCCCGAAGCUCAACUUCGGCAUGGCAUUGGAAACUGGGUAGCUAGAGUAUGGUAGAGGUAUCGGGAAUUCCUGGUGUAGCGGUGAAAUGCGUAGAUAUCAGGAGGAACACCGGCGGCGAAAGCGCGAUACUGGGCCAUAACUGACGCUGAGGAACGAAAAGCCCAGGGGGAGCAAAACGGGG